UUAAGUUUGUAGUGAAAUCGUAGGGCUCAACUCUAUCUAGCUACAAAAACUGGGAGGCUGGAGUGCGGUAGAGGCUAGUGGAAUUCUAGUGUAGCGGUAAAAUGCGUAGAUAUUAGGAGGAACACCGGUGGCGAARGCGACUAGCUGGGCCGUAACUGACGCUGAGGCACGAAAGCGUGGGGAGCAAAUAGGAUUAGAUACCCUAGUAGUCCACGCCGUAAACGAUGAAUACUAAGUGUUGGAGAAAUUCAGUGCUGCAGUUAACGCAAUAAGUAUUCCGCCUGGGGAGUAUGCACGCAAGUGUGAAACUCAAAGGAAUUGACGGGGACCCGCACAAGCGGUGGAUUAUGUGGUUUAAUUCGAUGCAACGCGAAGAACCUUACCAAGUCUUGACAUCCCUGGCAAAACUCUAGAGAUAGAGCGGAGGUUAUCCAGGUGACAGGUGGUGCAUGGUUGUCGUCAGCUCGUGUCGUGAGAUGUUGGGUUAAGUCCCGCAACGAGCGCAACCCUUGUCUUCAGUUACCAGCAUUCAGUUGGGGACUCUGGAGAGACUGCCGGUGACAAACCGGAGGAAGGUGGGGAUGACGUCAAAUCAGCAUGCCCCUUAUGACUUGGGCUACACACGUAAUACAAUGGCGCACACAAAGGGAAGCAAUACCGCGAGGUGGAGCAAAUCUCAUAAAUUGCGUCUCAGUUCGGAUUAGAGUCUGCAACUCGACUCUAUGAAGUUGGAAUCGCUAGUAAUCGUGGAUCAGCACGCCACGGUGAAUACGUUCUCGGGUCUUGUACACACCGCCCGUCAAACCAUGAGAGUUGGCAAUGCCCGAAGCCGGUGGCCUAACCGCAAGGAGGGAGCCGUCGAAGGCAGGGCUGAUGAUUGGGGUUAAGUCGUAACAAGGUAACCCGGGCGGCCGCU
rnacentral:rRNA from 1 species